UACGUAGGGGGCUAGCGUUGUCCGGAAUCAUUGGGCGUAAAGAGCGUGUAGGCGGCCAGAUAAGUCCGCUGUGAAAUCUCGAGGCUCAACUUCGAGCUGUCGGUGGAAACUGUCUGGCUAGAGUCCGGAAGAGGAGAAUGGAAUUCCUGGUGUAGCGGUGAAAUGCGCAGAUAUCAGGAAGAACACCCGUGGCGAAGGCGGUUCUCUGGGACGGUACUGACGCUGAGACGCGAAAGCGUGGGGAGCGAACAGG
rnacentral:rRNA from 1 species